GAUCAUGGCUCAGGAUGAACGCUAGCUACAGGCUUAACACAUGCAAGUCGAGGGGAAACGACAUCGAAAGCUUGCUUUUGAUGGGCGUCGACCGGCGCACGGGUGAGUAACGCGUAUCCAACCUGCCCAUCACUUGGGAAUAACCUUGCGAAAGUAAGACUAAUGCCCAAUGAUAUCCCACGAAGGCAUCCGAAUGGGAUUAAAGAUUUAUCGUGAUGGUAGUGGGGUAGUGCGU
rnacentral:rRNA from 1 species